CCCAGUUGAGCUUUCCCGUUUCCAUCUGCCAUUGCCGAGUGUUGUGUGUGUGCGGCAGUAUCUUCUAACUCUAUGCUCUUAUUGAAAUUAAGUUCCUUCGAAGGCGCACAGAAUCCUUGGUUCUGAGAGGAUGGAAUAAAAAAGAUCCAAGGAUCUGAAGUCUACAAGACUUCAAAACUAACCUUAAUUUAUAAGGUUUAAAAGGUUAAUGUUUUUGGAUAUAUGAUAUAUUUGAGCUGGUACUUAUAACGACACCCAUUUUAUUUAAGUUCUGUAUAAUGUUUGUCAAAAAAAAGAGUAUUUAACGGUCCCGUUGAUGAAAAUAUAUUUCCGUUUUGAUUU